rnacentral:rRNA from 1 species
CCUACGGGGGGCAGCAGUGGGGAAUAUUGGACAAUGGGGGCAACCCUGAUCCAGCCAUGCCGCGUGUGUGAAGAAGGCCCUCGGGUUGUAAAGCACUUUCAGUGAGGAAGAACGCCUGGUGGUUAAUACCCAUCAGGAAAGACAUCACUCACAGAAGAAGCACCGGCUAACUCCGUGCCAGCAGCCGCGGUAAUACGGAGGGUGCGAGCGUUAAUCGGAAUUACUGGGCGUAAAGCGCGCGUAGGUGGCUUGAUAAGCCGGUUGUGAAAGCCCCGGGCCCAACCUGGGAACGGCAUCCGGAACUGUCAAGCUAGAGUGCAGGAGAGGAAGGUAGAAUUCCCGGUGUAGCGGUGAAAUGCGUAGAGAUCGGGAGGAAUACCAGUGGCGAAGGCGGCCUUCUGGACUGACACUGACACUGAGGUGCGAAAGCGUGGGUAGCAAACAGGAUUAGAUACCCGGGUAGUC